rnacentral:rRNA from 1 species
CCUACGGGAGGCAGCAGUGAGGAAUAUUGGUCAAUGGCCGGAAGGCUGAACCAGCAAAGCCGCGUGAAGGACGAAGGUGCCAAGAAUUGUAAACUUCUUUUGUCAAGGGACAAAAUCAGGCUCGAGAGCCUGACCGAGGGUACUUGAAGAAAAAGCAUCGGCUAACUUCGUGCCAGCCGCCGCGGUAAUACUGGGGAUGCGAGCGUUAUCCGGAUUUAUUGGGGUGAACGGGUGCGUAGGCGGGCUGUUAAGUCAGCGGUAAAAGCCAGGGGCUCAACCCCGGCGAGCCUUUGAAACUGGCUGUCUUGAGAUGUCGAGAGGUAUGCGGAAUGCGCAGUGUAGCGGUGAAAUGCUUAGAUAUUGGGCAGAACUCCGAUUGCGAAGGCAGCAUACCGGCGGCGAUCUGACGCUGAGGCACGAAAGCGUGGGUAUCGAACAGGAUUAGAUACCCGUGUAGUC